AUUGAACGCUGGCGGCAGGCCUAACACAUGCAAGUCGAGCGGAUGAAGAGAGCUUGCUCUCUGAUUUAGCGGCGGACGGGUGAGUAAUGCCUAGGAAUCUGCCUGGUAGUGGGGGAUAACGUUCCGAAAGGAACGCUAAUACCGCAUACGUCCUACGGGAGAAAGCAGGGGACCUUCGGGCCUUGCGCUAUCAGAUGAGCCUAGGUCGGAUUAGCUAGUUGGUGAGGUAAUGGCUCACCAAGGCUACGAUCCGUAACUGGUCUGAGAGGAUGAUCAGUCACACUGGAACUGAGACACGGUCCAGACUCCUACGGGAGGCAGCAGUGGGGGAUAUUGGACAAUGGGCGAAAGCCUGAUCCAGCCAUGCCGCGUGUGUGAAGAAGGUCUUCGGAUUGUAAAGCACUUUAAGUUGGGAGGAAGGGCAGUAAGUUAAUACCUUGCUGUUUUGACGUUACCGACAGAAUAAGCACCGGCUAACCUCGUGCCAGCCGCCGCAGUAACAC
rnacentral:rRNA from 1 species